rnacentral:pre_miRNA from 7 species
UUCUAAAUUGCAUUGAAAGACCUUAGUGGGGAGACCCCCACUCAAGUCCCAAGAUGGUGUGCACCCAAGGAAUCAUAAGAAACC